AAGUCGUAACAAGGUUUCCGUAGGUGAACCUGCGGAAGGAUCAUUGAAAUGGAGGACGGGCUCCGGCCCGUCGUAUUCCCCUCUCACUGGGACCCUUGUGGCCCCCAAAGAGGACACCAUUUGUGGAACAAACUCGUUGCUUUGGCAGCUUCGACGUCCCCCCUCCCGGGGGAGGCGCCGUUGUCAGUCUGUCAACAGUCUACACAUAACUCUUUGCAACAAACUUGAAGUCUGAUAACUAUAAAUGCAAACGCAUAAAA
rnacentral:misc_RNA from 1 species